UGGGGGAUAUUGCACAAUGGGCGAAAGCCUGAUGCAGCGACGCCGCGUGGGGGAUGAAGGCCUUCGGGUUGUAACCUUCUUUUGCUCUGAACAAGGCGCACCAUGGGGUGUGUUGAGUGUAGGGGUUGAUUAGCGCCGGCUAACUACGUGCCAGCAGCCGCGGUAAUACGUAGGGCGCGAGCGUUGUCCGGAAUUAUUGGGCGUAAAGGGCUUGUAGGUGGCUGGUUGCGUCUGUCGUGAAAGCUCAUGGCUUAACUGUGGGUUUGCGGUGGGUACGGGCUGGCUUGAGUGCAGUAGGGGAGGCUGGAAUUCCUGGUGUAGCGGUGGAAUGCGCAGAUAUCAGGAGGAAUUCCGGUGGCGAAGGCGGGUCUCUGGGCUGUUACUGACACUGAGGAGCGAAAGCAUGGGGAGCGAACAGG
rnacentral:rRNA from 1 species